UCUGGUUGAUCCUGCCAGAGGUUACUGCUAUCGAGGUUCGACUAAGCCAUGCGAGUCGAAUGUAGCAAUACAUGGCGUACUGCUCAGUAACACGUGGAUAACCUACCCUUGAGACGGGGAUAAACCCGGGAAACUGGGUAUAAUACCCGAUAGAUCUCGACUGCUGGAAUGCAUCGAGCUUGAAAGCUCCGGCGCUCAAGGAUGGGUCUGCGGCCUAUCAGGUAGUAGUGGGUGUAGCGUACCUACUAGCCUACGACGGGUACGGGUUGUGAGAGCAAGAGCCCGGAGAUGGAUUCUGAGACACGAAUCCAGGCCCUACGGGGUGCAGCAGGCGCGAAAACUUUACAAUGCUGGAAACAGCGAUAAGGGGACCUCGAGUGCCAGGUUACAAAUCUGGCUGUCGUGAUGCCUAAAAAGCAUUGCAUAGCAAGGGCCGGGCAAGACCGGUGCCAGCCGCCGCGGUAACACCGGCGGCUCGAGUGGUAACCGUUAUUAUUGGGUCUAAAGGGUCUGUAGCCGGCCGGAUAAGUCUCUUGGGAAAUCUGGCAGCUUAACUGUCAGGCUUUCAGGAGAUACUGUCUGGCUCGAGGCCGGGAGAGGUGAGAGGUACUUCAGGGGUAGGGGUGAAAUCUUGUAAUCCUUGAAGGACCACCAGUGGCGAAGGCGUCUCACCAGAACGGACCUGACGGCAAGGGACGAAAGCUAGGGGCACGAACCGGAUUAGAUACCCGGGUAGUCCUAGCCGUAAACGAUACUCGCUAGGUGUCGGCAACGGUGCGACCGUUGUCGGUGCCGUAGGGAAGCCGUGAAGCGAGCCACCUGGGAAGUACGGCCGCAAGGCUGAAACUUAAAGGAAUUGGCGGGGGAGCACCACAACGGGUGGAGCUUGCGGUUUAAU
rnacentral:rRNA from 1 species